rnacentral:rRNA from 1 species
ACGUAGGGUGCGAGCGUUAAUCGGAAUUACUGGGCGUAAAGCGUGCGCAGGCGGUUGUGCAAGACAGAUGUGAAAUCCCCGGGCUCAACCUGGGAACUGCAUUUGUGACUGCACGACUGGAGUGCGGCAGAGGGGGAUGGAAUUCCGCGUGUAGCAGUGAAAUGCGUAGAUAUGCGGAGGAACACCGAUGGCGAAGGCAGCCUCCUGGGCCAGUACUGACGCUCAUGCACGAAAGCGUGGGGAGCAAACAG